AUUGAACGCUGGCGGCAUGCUUUACACAUGCAAGUCGAACGGUAACAGGCCGCAAGGUGCUGACGAGUGGCGAACGGGUGAGUAAUGCAUCGGAACGUGCCCAGUCGUGGGGGAUAACUGCUCGAAAGAGCAGCUAAUACCGCAUACGAUCUAUGGAUGAAAGCGGGGGACCGUAAGGCCUCGCGCGAUUGGAGCGGCCGAUGUCAGAUUAGGUAGUUGGUGGGGUAAAGGCUCACCAAGCCAACGAUCUGUAGCUGGUCUGAGAGGACGACCAGCCACACGGGGACUGAGACACGGCCCAGACUCCUACGGGAGGCAGCAGUGGGGAAUUGUGGACAAUGGGGGCAACCCUGAUCCAGCAAUGCCGCGUGCAGGAAGAAGGCCUUCGGGUUGUAAACUGCUUUUGUACGGAACGAAACGGUCUGGGUUAAUACCCUGGGCUAAUGACGGUACCGUAAGAAUAAGCACCGGCUAACUACGUGCCAGCAGCCGCGGUAAAAC
rnacentral:rRNA from 1 species